rnacentral:rRNA from 1 species
UACGUGCAGCACGAGUGGUGUCCACGAAUAUUGAGCCUAAAACGCAUGUAGCCGGUUCGGCAAAUCUUCCGUCAAAUCUCAGAGCUUAACUUUGAGGCGUGCGGGGGACACUACCAGACUUGGGAAUGGGGGAGUCAGAGAGUACGUUAGGGGGAGGGGUAAAAUCCUGUAAUCCUUAACGGACUAACGGUGGCGAAGGCGCUCUGACAAAACAUGUCCGACGGUGAGAUGCGAAGGCUAGGGGAGCAAAUGG